AUUGAAUCUGCGUUAGUGAUUGAAGCGGAAAUACUUUUUUGAUUCGCUUUUUCGGCGAAGCAAAAAAGAUUGAAACGAAAAGCACGACCUGCC
rnacentral:sRNA from 1 species